ACACAAUUACAGUGCUUAGUGAAGAUGCUGAUGAUAUGAAAUUUUCAAGGCAGAGAUUUCUUGUUAAUAUUUAAUUCCCGUUCUUUAUCUUAACUGCAGCAAAGCAAUCAUGUACAGUGCUGUAGCUAUAGACUAGAGUUGUACUACUCAAUCAACAUCACCUGUUUUAGUCCCAUUAAGUCAGAAAGUUCACAUGAAGAGCCAAAAUUGUUUUAUUAUAAAGUUACAAGUCUGGAAAGUACUCUAAGAGAUCACAAAAUUCUGUUUUCACAUAGAAUUCAUGUGAAUUCAUUUUUGUGAUUCCUGGUACUUGUUUUGCCCAGAUUGUUCUUCAACGUCACUUUCCUUAUUCAGCAAAUAUAAAACUAUUUGCCUCUUCUUGGACUUAAACCAACUUUACUUUGAAUUCAUGUGGUCAUGUGAUGAUACUUAGGAUCUGCUCUACCUACAGCAUUUGCUGCUAUGUAAACACAGCUUGGUCAUCUUCAGCAAAUUUUUUCAGAAGUUGUUGCAUUUUCGCAUCUUUCCCAGCUUGCUGCCAACAACAAAGUUACACAGUGGAUCCUCUCUUUUCCAUCACUGAAGCUGUUAAGGAAAACAUCGACACUGAUGCAGGAAGGACCCGUGUGAAAUUUUUGGUGGUCUUUCAGUUCAGCUAUAACUGCACUUUGAAAAUGGUUUUACAAUUAACCGUGCACUGGUAUUGCAAUAGUUUAAUCAUUUAUAUUGUAAGAGUUUUAGAAGACUCACAGAAGGUAAUUCCUGUGUUGCCAAGGCAUAUUACCCGUUCAAGAGGGCUAUUAGAUUGUUUUUCUUCUGGAGGAGAUUUCAGCAGCAAGCAAAAGGCAGUGUUUUUCAGAAGGUGAGGCUUAAGGAAGGUGAAUAUCAGCUGCAGACAUGUUGAAGAGAGACUGAAUAUGAUUUUUGGCUGGAAGAGGGAUGAUGCAGUACUUCCUCGUGGUAGGUUACUGUGGGAAGGGGGAACAAUUGCUAUUUCUUCAUCUGGGCAUGACUGGAGUCAUUAGCUAGGUGGGAGUCAGAAUAUAGUCCAUCCUGACUAGGAGGAAGAGGUGCAUGUGGUCUUAAAUUCUCUACAACAACAUAAGCCUGUGUUCAGACCGGAGCACAGCUUUAUUUCAGGUAAAUUAGCUUGUAGACUCCAUGGUUAGUGCGGCAUGUUUUAUUUGGUACCUGUUUCGGCUAAUGACUGUUUAUGCUUGCAAAUCUGAUGUAGCUGAUGAAAUUUCUUACAAGAGCUUUCAUGCAGUAGCUUCUGCUAAUGUACUUAACUCAAUAUCCUGAAGGAGAAUUUUGGCCUUCAUUAUUAUGUCGGCUGUGGAUUUUUUUUUUCUAAUAUAAAAAUAAGAGAUGUGAGAUUGACAUAGGGAGUUUGAAUGCUCUCAGUAUACUGCAUUUCUUGCAUACCAAUUAAUUACAAGAUACGGUGAUUCAAGUUAGAAGAAAUUAUUGCCUUUCCAUUCCUCAGCUGCAACAGUUUGCAGCCCACAGUCAUGUUGUAUGUAGUAACAAGUAGUUGCAGUUUGUAGAGCAUUGGGUUUUGAACUGUGGUAGCUGACAGAUUCCAUUUGUGUUUAGCAAUCUGUGUUUUGUUAGAUGGAAACAUCCAAUUUGUGCUUAGCCAUUGUGUCAGAAGAAGUUGCUGCUCCUCAUGCUAAACCCAACAGGGAUGGAUGGCAAAUUGGAGGUACUGGCAUGGCUUGCCCCACACCCAGAAUGGUUAUAAAUCUCUUGCAGUGAAGAAUAUAGCCUCUUUUCUUAAAUUCUGGAGAUAUAUAUAUAUAUAUAUAUUUUUUUUUUUUUUCCAGCAAGAGUGUGCAUUCCAGAAAAUGGUUUCUGCAAGCUGUUCUGGAUGUCCUAACUUGACAUCUAACUAGAAGAAAGGGAGAAAAGAAGUCAACAAAGAAAAUGGAAAAGUGUUGUGGGAAAACCGAUUAUAUAUAAAGAUAUAAAUAAAGGUGUAUUUUUAAGUUGUUUGGGCAAUGAUAAUAUCUUUUCAGUAUCUGUUGCUGGCUAAGCAUUGCAAAAAAGUGUCUAUUUGGCAUUUAUGGUCUAAGACAAGAAAAAAUAAAACCUACAUUUU
ensembl:lncRNA